rnacentral:rRNA from 1 species
AACGAACGCUGGCGGCAGGCUUAACACAUGCAAGUCGAGCGCCCCGCAAGGGGAGCGGCAGACGGGUGAGUAACGCGUGGGAACGUACCCUUUGCUACGGAAUAGCUCCGGGAAACUGGAAUUAAUACCGUAUGUGCCCUUCGGGGGAAAGAUUUAUCGGCAAAGGAUCGGCCCGCGUUGGAUUAGCUAGUUGGUGGGGUAAUGGCCUACCAAGGCGACGAUCCAUAGCUGGUCUGAGAGGAUGAUCGGCCACAUUGGGACUGAGACACGGCCCAGACUCCUACGGGAGGCAGCAGUGGGGAAUAUUGGACAAUGGGCGCAAGCCUGAUCCAGCCAUGCCGCGUGAGUGAUGAAGGCCCUAGGGUUGUAAAGCUCUUUCACCGGUGAAGAUAAUGACGGUAACCGGAGAAGAAGCCCCGGCUAACUUCGUGCCAGCAGCCGCAGUAACAC